CGUGUAUAGCAGGGUGAGGGUACGUCCGGCCUCUCCAACGGGAGGGGGUGUGAGUGGAAAUUGGCCCCUUUGUGCGUGCCUGGCUCCAUGAUCGCGGUCAUCGAACUUUCAGCAACAACCCUUCUCAUGUUCGCCUUGGGAAACUUUGCCCGUGGCGUUCGAUUAUGGUUCUUGUGCUGCCUACCCGUUAAGUGGUAUUCAUGUGCCUAUUUUGAUCUGUUCCGUCCAGACCCCUUCUAGAGGUCGUUGGAGGAUUCGAAAGUGAUGCGUGUGAUGUGUUAGAUGUGCAUUGUAAUGUCUUGCGUUCUCACACGUGUCUAGUGUUCCCUUGGAUGCGGUGCACGCAGUGCACGUGGGCUGAUGAGUCUGCCCCCUUGAGUCCCUUCAAUUUAUCGGUUCCAUUGAAUGACACUUUGCCGUUGUGUCGGCCUUGCUUAACCAUUCGUGGUGGCAACACUUGCACGUCGAGCAAAGUCGUUGAUG
rnacentral:misc_RNA from 1 species